UGGACAGAUUGUUGUAUUCGACUGUAUUCACGACGUAAAACAAAGGAUUACACUGUUUUUAAAUGGAAAGUGAAUCAAUUAACAUAAUAAACUCCU
rfam:Nicotiana attenuata strain TT chromosome 10, whole genome shotgun sequence.